CGAGAUGCAAGCUCGGAGAAGCACCCCUAAAGGUGCCGGGGCUUCUCCCGUUU
rnacentral:tRNA from 1 species